AUCAGCGGGCAUCUGCUCGGUCCUGGUGUGUAUAUAAACGCACGAGACGCUCCUCUCAGUCUCUUCCUCUUCAAGUCUUUCAGGAGAAGGACCCGCGACUACCGGACACCAUGGGUAAAUCUGAAGCCGGAUCGCCCACCCGGGACGCCCGACUACGUCUCGUUGCCCUCCCAGCAGGAAUUGGGGACUGUGGAGGGUGAAGAGGCAGAACGUGAACGUUGCAUCGCAUGCAGGUGACCCUGAUGACUGACUCAUAGGUGACAGGAGGAGAACUUUGAAUGAAAAGGCAUAAAGUUGAGCCCUUUGGUUACAUUGGCCCAAAGGCUGCAUCACCAGUCUGGUGUGAAGCUUCGUGCCCAGUUAAAGGUGGUCGACAUCCACCUGUGCAAGAGGAUCACGAGGAAGCUGCACCAAGUUAUUGAACUUCAUGGUUCAAGUUGUGUGUGUGUGUGUGAAAUAAAACUAUUUUGAUCAAAUUGA